rnacentral:rRNA from 1 species
AAGCUCGUAGUUGAAUUUCGGGGUUAGUAGGUUGGUCAUGCCUCUGGUAUGUACUGGUCUCACUGAUUCCUCCUUCCUUAUGAACCGUAAUGCCAUUAAUUUGGUGUUGCGGGGAAUUUGGACUGUUACUUUGAAAAAAUUAGAGUGUUUAAAGCAAGCUAACGCUUGAAUACAUUAGCAUGGAAUAAUGAAAUAGGACGUUCGAUCUUAUUUUGUUGUUUCUAGGAUUGACGUAAUGAUUAAUAGGGAUAGUUGGG